AUCGCUUCUCGGCCUUUUGGCUAAGAUCAAGUGUAGUAUACCUGUAAUAAACAUUUUACUAGCUUGACAAUUUGAAACAAAUCACAAGUAAAGCAACCAGAUCCUGAAGUCAUUUUUUUAAAUUAAUUUAUUGACUGUGUUUUCAAUUUCU
rnacentral:snRNA from 1 species